rnacentral:rRNA from 1 species
UACGGAGGGGGCAAGCGUUAUUCGGAAUUAUUGGGCGUAAAGGGCGCGUAGGCGGCUAGAUGUGUCAAAGGUGAAAUCCCUCGGCUCAACUGAGGAACUGCCUUUGAAACUGUCUGGCUUGAGGCCGGGAGAGGGUAGCGGAAUUCCCAGUGUAGCGGUGAAAUGCGUAGAUAUCUGGAGGAACACCGGUGGCGAAGGCGGCAUUCUGGACCGAUAUUGACGCUGAGGAGCGAAAGCCAGGGGAGCAAACGGG